CCUAAUUUGAAAAGAGAGGCGUCCAUUUUCUUGUUCCCUUGUCCUCCUCCUGGUCCUACCAUUCCAUCGUGUUCUAUUCCAAAAUUAUAGUUUUGCUUUAUAAUCUGGUCAUUUUCACAUUGUUAAUUAGAGCCUCCAUUCCUCCCAAGACCGUCCAAAAGUCCAAAAAUCACUUCAAAAGCCACAAAUUUCCAAGUUCCUUCCCUCCAAAGUCCAUACCUGCGUUACAUCAUCGCCUCACCCUCCCAAAAAAGUCAUCCCUCAACCUUAUUUAUAACCCACAACAGAGAUUGCCUAUGCAAGUGUUUGCUUGUGGAGGCUGAAAAUGUGUCAUAUGGCCUACAACAAUGUCGGCAACGGCAGGAGAUCCUGCCACGGAAACAGAGGAUUUAGGCUGAAUCCCAAAAGAUUUUCGGUGCAACGAUUUCGUGCAAGAAGAAAUAGCAUCAACAUAAAUAACAGCGGCGUCGGCAGCAACAGCACCAUGAGUUUGGUUUUGAAGGUCCCCAGCAUGGGUCGAGCCGACUGUAGGUUGAGAUCUUUUGGGAGGUCCAACUCCUUCUAUGCCGAGGCCAUUGCAGAUUGCUUGGAGUUCAUCAAGAGGUCCUCUGUUUCUGGAGAUCGAAACCCCAUCAUCCAAAGAUAGGAUAAUUUUUUUUUUUUCUUUUGCCAUUCUGUAUAAAACGACUCGCGGAGAUGUGCUCCUUGUAUUUGUCAUUUUGUUACAUAUCACAUUCGUUUGCCUU